UGAAGGAUGAGCCCGCGGCCUAUCAGCUUGUUGGUGGGGUGAUGGCCUACCAAGGCGACGACGGGUAGCCGGCCUGAGAGGGCGACCGGCCACACUGGGACUGAGACACGGCCCAGACUCCUACGGGAGGCAGCAGUGGGGAAUAUUGCACAAUGGGCGAAAGCCUGAUGCAGCGACGCCGCGUGAGGGAUGACGGCCUUCGGGUUGUAAACCUCUUUCAGCAGGGAAGAAGCGAGAGUGACGGUACCUGCAGAAGAAGCGCCGGCUAACUACGUGCCAGCAGCCGCGGUAAUACGUAGGGCGCAAGCGUUGUCCGGAAUUAUUGGGCGUAAAGAGCUCGUAGGCGGCUUGUCACGUCGGAUGUGAAAGCCCGGGGCUUAACCCCGGGUCUGCAUUCGAUACGGGCAGGCUAGAGUGUGGUAGGGGAGAUCGGAAUUCCUGGUGUAGCGGUGAAAUGCGCAGAUAUCAGGAGGAACACCGGUGGCGAAGGCGGAUCUCUGGGCCAUUACUGACGCUGAGGAGCGAAAGCGUGGGGAGCGAACAGGAUUAGAUACCCUGGUAGUCCACGCCGUAAACGUUGGGAACUAGGUGUUGGCGACAUUCCACGUCGUCGGUGCCGCAGCUAACGCAUUAAGUUCCCCGCCUGGGGAGUACGGCCGCAAGGCUAAAACUCAAAGGAAUUGACG
rnacentral:rRNA from 1 species